UAGGGAAUCUUCGGCAAUGGGGGCAACCCUGACCGAGCAACGCCGCGUGAGUGAAGAAGGUUUUCGGAUCGUAAAGCUCUGUUGUAAGAGAAGAACGUGUGUGAGAGUGGAAAGUUCACACAGUGACGGUAACUUACCAGAAAGGGACGGCUAACUACGUGCCAGCAGCCGCGGUAAUACGUAGGACCCGAGCGUUGUCCGGAUUUAUUGGGCGUAAAGCGAGCGCAGGCGGUUUAAUAAGUCUGAAGUUAAAGGCAGUGGCUUAACCAUUGUUCCCUUUGGAAACUGUUAAACUUGAGUGCAGAAGGGGAGAGUGGAAUUCCAUGUGUAGCGGUGAAAUGCGUAGAUAUAUGGAGGAACACCGGUGGCGAAAGCGGCUCUCUGGUCUGUAACUGACGCUGAGGCUCGAAAGCGUGGGGAGCAAACAGG
rnacentral:rRNA from 1 species